GUCCGUGUGGUGAAAUGGUAUCAUUGCUGCCUUCCAUUUCAUUCGUUAGCAGCAGGCUCGGGUUCGAUUCCCGGCGCGGACA
rnacentral:tRNA from 1 species